rnacentral:misc_RNA from 1 species
GAAAUGCGAUAAGUAGUGUGAAUUGCAGAAUUCAGUGAAUCAUCGAAUCUUUGAACGCACAUUGCGCCCUUUGGUAUUCCUUAGGGCAUGCCUGUUCGAGCGUCAUCUAAACCUUCAAGCCCUGCUUGGUGUUGGGUGCCUGUCCCGCCUCCGCGCGCGGACUCACCUCAAAUCCAUUGGCGGCCCCCGCGUCGGCCACGAGCGCAGCAGAAACGCGAACUCGUGAGCCCGUCCGGGCGGCUCCCAGAAGCUACACCCACCCAGUUUGACCUCGGAUCAGGUAGAGAUACCCGCUGAACUUACGC